rnacentral:lncRNA from 1 species
UUUGGUCCACACAAGGGCGGUAUUAUUGCCGCCUUAUCCAAUUUUUGGUGAAAACAAUUCGUCCAGAUCAAAACAUUGUUGAACAAAAGCAUUUUCUUGAAUAACAUUUUGGGCUCAAUCAGUCCAGACAACCGCUGCUGAAAGCUCAAGAAAAGGGCUUCGAUUAGGGCUGGAGAAUAAGGGGCUUGAAGGGGUUCAAGUAAGUUUAGGAAAUCAAGAUUAGGGGCUUUGAUUUAAGGCUAAAGCUUCAACAGCGAUUCAAUUAGGGUUCUGAUUCAAGGUUGAAGCUUCAGAUUGGGUUUAAUUAGGUCUACAAUUUAAGACGG